UACGUAGGGUGCAAGCGUUGUCCGGAAUUAUUGGGCGUAAAGAGCUCGUAGGCGGUCUGUCGCGUCGGCUGUGAAAACCCGGGGCUCAACCCCGGGCCUGCAGUCGAUACGGGCAGACUAGAGUGCGGUAGGGGAGACUGGAAUUACGGUGUAGCGGUGAAAUGCGUAGAUAUCGUAAGGAAGACCAGUGGCGAAGGCGGGGUCUCUGGACAGUUCCUGACGCUGAGGCACGAAGGUCAGGGGAGCAAACGGG
rnacentral:rRNA from 1 species